UACGUAGGGGGCAAGCGUUGUCCGGAAUCAUUGGGCGUAAAGAGCGCGUAGGCGGUCCGGUAAGUCCGCUCUGAAAGUCCGGGGCUCAACCCCGGGAGGCGGGCGGAUACUGUCGGGCUAGAGUCCGGAAGAGGCGAGUGGAAUUCCUGGUGUAGCGGUGAAAUGCGCAGAUAUCAGGAGGAACACCGGUGGCGAAGGCGGGUCUCUGGGCCGUAACUGACGCUGAGGAGCGAAAGCAUGGGGAGCGAACAGG
rnacentral:rRNA from 1 species